GACUCACACCAGGCCGAAGUCACUGACCAAGGAAGGAAGAUGGCGUUAGCAGUGGCAGUGCUGUUUGUGGCCUUUCUUGCUGCAGAACUUGAGAACAGGGGACGCGGAACUCGACACAUGGACCCAUUAUGCGUGGUUUGACAACAGACUGACUUGGGAGCCCUCGGAAUACGGAGGAAUUCCUCUUAUCAGACUCCCUCCCUCAGAUAUAUGGCGCCUUGACAUUGUUCCCUACCUAGGACAUGCUGAUGUCACAGAUGCCUCCGUGGGACUCUGUCUAUAUACCACCCACAAUGGACUACUCAUCUGACGGCACUGACCUGUUCGGUGAAGAUUGGAUCCUGGACGUAUA